GUGGUGGCGGUGGGGCUCCUCCACGCAUUGGAGGUGGUGGUGGUGGUGGGGCUCCUCCAGGAGGAGGUGGUGGAGGCGGAGGUCCACCAGAUCUAAAUGGAGGUGGUGGUGGUGGCGGAGGUCCACUAGUUCCAAAUGGAGGUGGUGGUGGCGGCGGAGGUCCACCAGAUCUAAAUGGAGGCGGUGGUGGUGGUGGAGGUCCAGUAGAUCCAAAUGGAGGCGGUGGUGGUGGCGGAGGUCCUCCAGAUCUAAAGGGAGGUGGUGGUGGCGGCGGAGGUCCAUUAGAUCCAAAUGGAGGUGGCGGUGGUGGUGGAGGUCUACUGGAUCCAAAUGGAGGUGGUGGUGGUGGAGGAGGUGAAGUUUUACCAAAUGGAGGUGGUGGUGGUGGUGGUGGAGGUCUAGUAGAUCCAAAUGGAGGUGGUGGUGGUGGUGGUGGAGGUCUAGUAGAUCCAAAUGGAGGUGGUGGUGGUGGAGGAGGUGAUGUUUUACCAAAUGGAGGUGGUGGUGGUGGCGGAGGUCCAGCAGAUCCAAAUGGAGGUGGUGGUGGUGGUGGCGGAGGGGCUCCAUGACUCGGUGGUUGAGGAAUUGAACCUACGUGACCAAAAGGAGAUGGUGGUGGUGGUGGUGGUGGUGGAGGUGGUGGAGGGGCUCCAUGACUCGGUGGUUGAUGAAUUGAACCUACGUGACCAAAAGGAGGUGGUGGUGGUGGCGGAGGUGGUGGAGGAGCUCCAUGACUCGGUGGCUGUGGAGGAGGAGGAACUGAACUUACGUGACCAAAAGGAGGAGCAGUUGGAGAUCCAUAACUUGGUGGCGGAGGUGGAGGGAUAGGGACUGAAUGCGCUUUACUAAAAGGAGGAAGAGGUGGUGGUGGUGGUGGUGGUGGAGGUGGAGGAGCAGCAGAAAAACCGUUAAUAAGAGACGUCUUGGGUGAUGGCGAAGGUGCAAUACUCAUAUAAGGCAACGGGGAAGGAGUAGGAAUAUGACCUCCACUGGAUUUGGUUGUAUUUGAUGAACUAAAAGGAGGAGGAGGAGGUGGUGGUGGUGGCGGUGGAGGUGGUGGAGAAUUGUAAGAUGUAGAGCCUUCCUCAUGAGUUUCAAGAAUCGAAGCAUACCCAGGCUUCCACGGUGGUGGAGGCGGUGGUGGAGGAGGUUGAGAAGUAGAACAUGCCGUAGAAGUUGCCAAAGUCGAAGUAUACACAGACUUCCAAGGAAGAGACGGUUGCAACACGGUUCGAUUGUUUGGUUUCUCAGAUGCAAAAGGAGGAGGAGGUGGUGGUGCAGAAGGAGGAGGAGGUGGUGGUGGUGGCAACGUGGUUCCACUGUUUAGUCUCUCAGAUGGAAAUGGAGGUGGUUCCGGGAUAUGAGAUGUCUGAGAGUAGCUGUCAUUUUGUCUAUGCGAAGAAAAAGUAGACAGUGGUGGUGGUGGAGGUGGAGGUGGCGGUGGAGGAGGUGAUGCAGCCGCUUGUGAAACUGAAGUAGCCUCACUGGUUAACGAAGGCAGGGAGGGAGUUGCAGGUGGAUGCUG
rnacentral:lncRNA from 1 species